rnacentral:rRNA from 1 species
AGUGAACGCUGGCGGUAGGCCUAACACAUGCAAGUCGAACGGCAGCACAGUAAGAGCUUGUUCUUACGGGUGGCGAGUGGCGGACGGGUGAGGAAUACAUCGGACUCUACUUUUUCGUGGGGGAUAACGUAGGGAAACUUAAGCUAAUACCGCAUACGACCUACGGGUGAAAGCAGGGGAUCUUCUGACCUUGCGCGAUUGAAUGAGCCGCUGUCGGAGUAGCUAGUUGGCGGGGUAAAGGCCCACCAAGGCGGCGAUCCGUAGCUGGUCUGAGAGGAUGAUCAGCCACACUGGAACUGAGACACGGUCCAUACUCCUACGGGAGGCAGCAGUGGGGAAUAUUGGACAGUGGGGGCAAGCCUGAUCCAGCCAUACCGCGUGGGUGAAGAAGGCCUUCGGGUUGUAAAGCCCUUUUGUUGGGAAAGAAAAGCAGCAGGUUAAUACCCCGCUGUUCUGACGGUACCCAAAGAAUAAGCACCGGCUAACUUCGUG